UGGGGAAUAUUGGGCAAUGGGGGAAACCCUGACCCAGCAACGCCGCGUGAGGGAAGAAGGUUUUCGGAUUGUAAACCUCUGUCCUUGGGGAAGAAAAAAAUGACGGUACCCAGGGAGGAAGCCCCGGCUAACUACGUGCCAGCAGCCGCGGUAAUACGUAGGGGGCGAGCGUUGUCCGGAAUUACUGGGCGUAAAGGGUGCGCAGGCGGUCUAGUAAGUUGGAUGUGAAAAACCCGGGCUUAACCCGGGAGGUGCAUACAAAACUGCAAGACUAGAGUGCAGGAGAGGGAAGCGGAAUUCCUAGUGUAGCGGUGAAAUGCGUAGAUAUUAGGAGGAACACCAGUGGCGAAGGCGGCUUUCUGGACUGUAACUGACGCUGAGGCACGAAAGCGUGGGGAGCAAACA
rnacentral:rRNA from 1 species